GACGAACCGUCCUAACGUUGUUCGGAAUCACUGGGCUUAAAGGGCGCGUAGGCGGCCUUGAAAGUCGGGGGUGAAAUCCCUCGGCUUAACCGGGGAACUGCGUCCGAUACUGGAUGGCUUGAGUUCGGGAGAGGGAUGCGGAAUUCCAGGUGUAGCGGUGAAAUGCGUAGAUAUCUGGAGGAACACCGGUGGCGAAGGCGGCAUCCUGGACCGACACUGACGCUGAGGAGCGAAAGCCAGGGGAGCAAACGGG
rnacentral:rRNA from 1 species